rnacentral:rRNA from 1 species
AGUGAACGCUGGCGGUAGGCCUAACACAUGCAAGUCGAACGGCAGCACAGUAAGAGCUUGCUCUUACGGGUGGCGAGUGGCGGACGGGUGAGGAAUACAUCGGAAUCUACUUUUUCGUGGGGGAUAACGUAGGGAAACUUACGCUAAUACCGCAUACGACCUACGGGUGAAAGCAGGGGAUCUUCGGACCUUGCGCGAAUGAAUGAGCCGAUGUCGGAUUAGCUAGUUGGCGGGGUAAAGGCCCACCAAGGCGACGAUCCGUAGCUGGUCUGAGAGGAUGAUCAGCCACACUGGAACUGAGACACGGUCCAGACUCCGACGGGAGGCAGCAGUGGGGAAUAUUGGACAAUGGGCGCAAGCCUGCACCAGCCAUACCGCGUGGAUGAAGAAGGCCUUCGGGUUGUAAAACCCUUUUCUUGGGAAAGACAAGCAGCAGGUUAAUACCCCGCUGUUCUGACGGUACCCAAAGAAUAAGCACCGGCUAACUUCGUG